CUGGUUGAUCCUGCCAGUAGUCAUAUGCUUGUCUCAAAGAUUAAGCCAUGCAUGUCUAAGUAUAAGCAAUUUAUACAGUGAAACUGCGAAUGGCUCAUUAAAUCAGUUAUCGUUUAUUUGAUAGUUCCUUUACUACAUGGUAUAACUGUGGUAAUUCUAGAGCUAAUACAUGCUUAAAAUCUCGACCCUUUGGAAGAGAUGUAUUUAUUAGAUAAAAAAUCAAUGUCUUCGGACUCUUUGAUGAUUCAUAAUAACUUUUCGAAUCGCAUGGCCUUGUGCUGGCGAUGGUUCAUUCAAAUUUCUGCCCUAUCAACUUUCGAUGGUAGGAUAGUGGCCUACCAUGGUUUCAACGGGUAACGGGGAAUAAGGGUUCGAUUCCGGAGAGGGAGCCUGAGAAACGGCUACCACAUCCAAGGAAGGCAGCAGGCGCGCAAAUUACCCAAUCCUAAUUCAGGGAGGUAGUGACAAUAAAUAACGAUACAGGGCCCAUUCGGGUCUUGUAAUUGGAAUGAGUACAAUGUAAAUACCUUAACGAGGAACAAUUGGAGGGCAAGUCUGGU
rnacentral:rRNA from 1 species